UAGCCAUGCAUGUCUAAGUUCACACUGUCUCACGGUGAAACCGCGAAUGGCUCAUUAAAUCAGUCGAGGUUCCUUAGAUGACACGAUCCUACUUGGAUAACUGUGGCAAUUCUAGAGCUAAUACAUGCUUAUCAAGCUCCGACCCUCGUGGAAAGAGCGCUUUUAUUAGUUCAAAACCAAUCGCGGUCUCUCUUCGGAGGGCCGCGUCCCUUUUGGUGACUCUGGAUAACUUUGUGCUGAUCGCAUGGCCUCGCGCCGGCGACGCAUCUUUCAAAUGUCUGCCCUAUCAAAUGUCGAUGGUACGUGAUAUGCCUACCAUGUUUGCAACGGGUAACGGGGAAUCAGGGUUCGAUUCCGGAGAGGGAGCAUGAGAAACGGCUACCACAUCCAAGGAAGGCAGCAGGCGCGCAACUUACCCACUCCCGGCACGGGGAGGUAGUGACGAAAAAUAACAAUACGGGACUCUUUCGAGGCCCCGUAAUUGGAAUGAGUACACUUUAAACCCUUUAACGAGGAUCUAUUGGAGGGCAAGUCUGGUGCCAGCAGCCGCGGUAAUUCCAGCUCCAAUAGCGUAUAUUAAAGUUGUUGCAGUUAAAAAGCUCGUAGUUGGAUCUCAGGCGCAGGCGGGCGGUCCGGCUCGCGCCGGCUCACUGCCCGUUUUUUCCUGCCCUACCGUCUGCCGGCUCUCUCCCGCGGGUGCUCUUCGCUGAGCGUCCCGGGUGGCCGGCGCGUUUACUUUGAAAAAAUUAGAGUGUUCAAAGCAGGCCUCGGCAGCCUGAAUAAUGGUGCAUGGAAUAAUGGAAUAGGACCUCGGUUCUAUUUUGUUGGUUUUCGGAACGGAGGUAAUGAUUAACAGGGACAAACGGGGGCAUUCGUAUUGCGGCGUUAGAGGUGAAAUUCUUGGAUCGCCGCAAGACGAGCUACUGCGAAAGCAUUUGUCAAGAAUGUUUUCAUUAGUCAAGAACGAAAGUCAGAGGCGCGAAGACGAUCAGAUACCGUCGUAGUUCUGACCAUAAACGAUGCCGACUAGCGAUCCGCAGGAGUUGCUUUGAUGACUCUGCGGGCAGCUUCCGGGAAACCAAAGUCUUUGGGUUCCGGGGGAAGUAUGGUUGCAAAGCUGAAACUUAAAGGAAUUGACGGAAGGGCACCACCAGGAGUGGAGCCUGCGGCUUAAUUUGACUCAACACGGGAA
rnacentral:rRNA from 1 species